CUCGUUGAAACACCAGUUCUCGUGCGAUCACCGAAGAUAAGCAACAUCGAUCCUGAUCAGUACCAAGAUGUGUGAGCGCAUCGGGACACUAGGUAAUGUCU